rnacentral:rRNA from 1 species
ACAACCAGGAUGUUGGCUUAGAAGCAGCCACUCAUUAAAAGAGUGCGUAAUAGCUCACUGGUCGAGUGACCCUGCGCCGAAAAUUCAACGGGGCUAAACAAUGUACCGAAGCUUGGGAUUCUAAAGUAAUUUAGAGUGGUAGGAGAGCGUCGAAUAAGGGGUGAAGUCAGAGCGGAAGCGCUGGUGGACUUUAUUCGAGUGAGAAUGCCGGAAUGAGUAGCGAGAAUUAUGUGAGAAUCAUAAUGGCCGAAAAUCUAAGGUUUCCUGAGGAAGGUUCGUCCGCUCAGGGUAAGCCGGGGGCUAAGGCGAGGCGGAGACGCGUAGCCGAUGCACAUACGGUUGAAAUUCCGUAGCCACCGAAAGAUUUAAGUACAGGGACGCUUUAGAAGUGAUGUUGCCGGGCGAUGGUUGACCCGGUCGUAAGGGAUCGAAAAUGAGUAGAGAAGUCAUCAUGGAAAGAGACAAGAAAAGCUGUAUGAAUAUCUUAGGUGCCCGUACCGCAAACCGACACAGGUAGAUAGGAAGAAGAUUCUAAGGCCAACGGGAGAAGGGUUGUUAAGGAACUCGGCAAGUUGACCCCGUAACUUAGGGAUAAGGGGUGCUCAAGUGAUUGAGCCGCAGAGAAUAGGCCCAGGCGACUGUUUAGCAAAAACACAGGUCUCUGCUAAAUCGAAAGAUGACGUAUAGGGGCUGACACCUGCCCGGUGCCGGAAGGUUAAGAGGAGAUGUGAGAGCAUUGAAUUGAAGCCCCGGUAAACGGCGGCCGUAACUAUAACGGUCCUAAGGUAGCGAAAUUCCUUGUCAGGUAAGUUCUGACCCGCACGAAAGGUGUAACGAUCUGGGCACUGUCUCAACAACCCGCCCGGCGAAAUUGUAGUACCGGUGAAGAUGCCGGUUACCCGCGACUAGACGGAAAGACCCCAUGGAGCUUUACUGUAGCCUAAUAUUGGAUUUCGGUAUUUCACGUACAGGAUAGGUGGGAGACUGGGAAGCACAGGCGUCAGCUUGUGUGGAGUCGACCUUGGGAUACCACUCUUGGAGUGCUGGAAUUCUAACCUGCGGCUUUGAAGCAAGUCGGGGGACAUUGUUAGGUGGGCAGUUUGACUGGGGCGGUCGCCUCCUAAAGAGUAACGGAGGCGCUCAAAGGUUCGCUCUGCAUGGAUGGAAACCAUGCGUCAGAGUGUAAACGCAAAAGCGAGCCUAACUGCGAGAAUGACGGUUCGAGCAGUAACGAAAGUUGGAGUUAGUGAUCCGGCGGUAUGUGAAUGGAAAUGCCGUCGCUCAACGGAUAAAAGCUACCCUGGGGAUAACAGGCUGAUCUCCCCCAAGAGUCCACAUCGACGGGGAGGUUUGGCACCUCGAUGUCGGCUCAU